rnacentral:rRNA from 1 species
AGAGUGAGCGCUGGCGGUAGGCCUAACACAUGCAAGUCGAACGGCAGCACGGUAAGAGCUUGCUCUUAUGGGUGGCGAGUGGCGGACGGGUGAGGAAUACAUCGGAAUCUACCUUUUGGUGGGGGAUAACGUAGGGAAACUUACGCUAAUACCGCAUACGCCCUUCGGGGGAAAGCCGGGGACCAGCAAUGGCCUGGUGCUGAUAGAUGAGCCGAUGUCGGAUUAGCUAGUUGGUGAGGUAAUGGCUCACCAAGGCGACGAUCCGUAGCUGGUCUGAGAGGAUGAUCAGCCACACUGGAACUGAGACACGGGUCCAGACU